rnacentral:misc_RNA from 1 species
UUUCCGUAGGUGAACCUGCGGAAGGAUCAUUAUUGUAUAACCGAGGUGCGAGGGCUGUCGCUGACCCGAAAGGUCGUGCACGCCCGAGUGUGUCCUCUUGCAUAAUAAUCCAUCUCACCCUUUGUGCAUCACCGCGUGGGCACCCUUCGGGAUCAUCUCGGAGGGGUGCUCGCGUUUUCACACAAACCCCCCUUUUAAAAGUGUAGAAUGACCACAUUUAUGCAAUCAAUACAACUUUCAACAACGGAUCUCUUGGCUCUC